UACGAAGGGGGCUAGCGUUGCUCGGAAUCACUGGGCGUAAAGCGCACGUAGGCGGCUUGUUAAGUCAGGGGUGAAAUCCUGGAGCUCAACUCCAGAACUGCCUUUGAUACUGGCGAGCUUGAGUCCGGGAGAGGUGAGUGGAACUGCGAGUGUAGAGGUGAAAUUCGUAGAGAUCCGGAGGAACCCCAGAGGCGAAGGCGGCCCCUGGCUCGUACCUGACGCUCAGCCACGAAAGCAUGGGGAGCGAACGGG
rnacentral:rRNA from 1 species